UACAGAGGUCCCAAGCGUUGUUCGGAUUCAUUGGGCGUAAAGGGUGCGUAGGCGGCGCGGUAAGUCGGGUGUGAAAUCUCGGGGCUUAACUCCGAAACUGCAUUCGAUACUGCCGUGCUUGAGGACUGGAGAGGAGACUGGAAUUUACGGUGUAGCGGUGAAAUGCGUAGAUAUCAGGAGGAAUACCGAUGGCGAAGGCGGGUCUCUGGGCUGACACUGACGCUCAUGCACGAAAGCGUGGGGAGCAAACAGG
rnacentral:rRNA from 1 species